rnacentral:rRNA from 1 species
GAUGAACGCUGGCGGCGUGCCUAAUACAUGCAAGUCGAGCGAACAGACGAGGAGCUUGCUCCUCUGACGUUAGCGGCGGACGGGUGAGUAACACGUGGAUAACCUACCUAUAAGACUGGGAUAACUUCGGGAAACCGGAGCUAAUACCGGAUAAUAUAUUAAACCGCAGGGUUCAUUAGUAAAAGAGGUUUUUCUUGUCCUUUAUAGAUGACCCCGCCCCCUUUUACCGUUUGGUAAGGUAACGGCUUUCCAAGGAAAAGGGGGGUAACGGACCUGGAGGGGGAGUCGGCCCACCUGGACCGGGGCACCGUGCAGGCUCCUACGGGAGGGAGCAGUAGGGAAUCUUCCGCAAUGGGCGAAAGCCUGACGGAGCAACGCCGCGUGAGGGAUGAAGGUCUUCGGAUCGUAAAACUCUGUUAUUAGGGAAGAACAAAUGUGUAAGUAACUAUGCACGUCUUGACGGUACCUAAUCAGAAAGCCACGGCUAACUACGUG